rnacentral:rRNA from 1 species
CCCUUAGAUGUUCUGGGCUGCACGCGCGCUACACUGACGCACGCAACAGGUGCCUGCUCCGAGAGGACUGGGUAAUCAUUUGAGUGUGCGUCGUGAUGGGGAUAGAAUAUUGUAAUUAUUACUCUUCAACGAGGAAUUCCUAGUAAGCGCCAGUCAGCAGCUUGCGCUGAUUACGUCCCUGCCCUUUGUACACACCGCCCGUCGCUCCUACCGAUGGGUGAUCCGGUGAAUGAUUCGGACUUCAGCGGCUCCCCUGGGGUGCGCCGGAGAAAGUUUUGUGAACCUUAUCUCUUGGAGGAAGGAGAAGUCGUAACA